AAGUCGUAACAAGGUUUCCGUAGGUGAACUUGCGGAAGAAUCACUGGCAAGAAGGGAACAAGUAGGCAGGCGGUUUUUCCCGAAAUUCCUGUAUUCACUCCAAUUUCCUUAAAAACUGAAACAAAACUUGACAAAAGACCACCGGCCUCGUUUCGGUGGCGUUAAGUAAGCAAAAAACUUUCAACAACGGAUCUCUUGGCUCUC
rnacentral:misc_RNA from 1 species